ACGGCAGUCUAAAAAAGGCAUAUCAAGUGCUCAUGCAUCCAGUUGAUGUAAGCAGGACUCCCACUUGGGGUUCCAAAAAAUGUCAUUUUGUUUCAUGUCAUUUCCAUCCGUCCAAGCAUCAGUAACUCCAUAAAUCUUGAAACUUAAAGUGUCCAUGUCACCCUGGCUUGAUUCUAAGGUUAUGGAGAGUGGACAGGACCAAAUUCCUU
rnacentral:lncRNA from 1 species